GGGCACUGGGCACCAGGUUUUGGAUACUGGGCACCUGAUUCUGGGCACAGAGCAUUGGGUAUUGGGAACAGGGCACUGGGCACCAGGUUCUGGGUAUUGGGCACCAGAUUCUGGGCACUGGGCACAGGGUAUCAGGCACUGAGUGUCGGUUACCGGGCACCAGGCACUGGGUACUGGAUACCAGAUACCGGGCACAAAGCUUUGGGUAUUGGGAAAAGGGCGCUGGCUGUGGGUCCCGGGCUCGAUGCACACCGUAGGGCACAGAACGCCGAGCCCCGCACCACUUACAAGAGAUCCCGCAGCGCCGUUUUGCAGAUCACCCUCAGCAGCCUCCAACCUCCGCUUCCCAGGCCGAUGCCCAGCGCUGCCGCCAGGCUCCAAACCCACGGAACC